CCUACGGGAGGCAGCAGUGAGGAAUCUUCCGCAAUGGGCGAAAGCCUGACGGAGCGACGCCGCGUGGGGGAUGAAGGCCCUCGGGUUGUAAACCCCUUUCGGCAGGGACGAAGCGAAAGUGACGGUACCUGCAGAAGAAGUCCCGGCUAACUACGUGCCAGCAGCCGCGGUAAU
rnacentral:rRNA from 1 species